GUCGCUUUGGCUGAGUGGUUAAGGUGUGUGCCUGCUAAGGACGCAGGGUUUCCCUGCGAGAGUUCAAAUCUCUCGGGCGACG